GCUUCUACUGCCUUCUUCUUCUCUGGAAUUCUUUUCUCCUAACCAAACCCAUCCAUCAAAUCCUUCGUUGCUUCUUUUGCUUCCACGUGAAUGCGUUUCUCUCUCUUCCCUGCUGCGUGAGAUCUGCUAGUCUCUUCUAUCUCUUCUCCUUUUGAAACAAUAGUAGUAGUAGCGGUUCUGCCAGUCUACUCCUCUCGUCUCCUCUCCUCUCCGCUACGCAUUGCUUUCUCCCCUACCUAAAACCCACGGGGACGCCACCCGCGCACCUCGCCGUGGACGCCAUGGGAGCGGAGUGAAGCAGCCGGCCACCGGAUUCCGUCCCCUCCUUCUCGGAUCGCCCGGAUCUGGCUCGCUCUCCAACUGCCUUCGCCAAUCUGCGCUGCUAGCCGGAGGGAGGUUGGGGACAAGGCCCGUAGCCACAGUGUGGCGG
rnacentral:lncRNA from 1 species